rnacentral:rRNA from 1 species
UACGGAGGAUCCAAGCGUUAUCCGGAUUUAUUGGGUUUAAAGGGUGCGUAGGUGGACUCAUAAGUCAGCGGUGAAAGUUUGCAGCUUAACUGUAAAAGUGCCUUCGAAACUGGUUUCCUUGAGUGUAGAUGAAGUAGGCGGAAUUUGUGGUGUAGCGGUGAAAUGCAUAGAUAUCACGAGGAACUCCGAUUGCGCAGGCAGCUUACUAAACCAUAACUGACGCUCAGGCACGAAGGCGUGGGGAUCAAACAGGAUUAGAUACCCCUGUAGU